ensembl:lncRNA
ACCAAGGUAUCGGUGAGCAGGCGGUGCCGGCUCCGUGCGUGUGUCCCCGUGCGGUACCGGAGCGGUUCCGUUUGGGUCCAGGGCCGGGUAAUAGGGCGCCACGCGCAGCUCCACGUCCUGCAGCCGAUGGGUUCUCCGCAGCACCCGCGGCACCACUGCACGGAGACACACACAGAGCCCAUAGAGCCGCGCUGGGGGGAGGGGGACCCCAAAACCCACCCCCCAUAACAGAGGGGGGGUGGCACCGGGACCCCAAAGUGGGGCAAAGUGGGACCCCACAGGGGUGGCACCGGGACCCCAAAGUGGGGCAGGGGCAGUG